UACAGAGGGUGCGAGCGUUAAUCGGAAUUACUGGGCGUAAAGCGUGCGUAGACGGCUAUCUAAGUCGGGUGUGAAAGCCCCGGGCUUAACCUGGGAACUGCAUUUGUGACUGCAUGGCUAGAGUACGGUAGAGGGGGAUGGAAUUCCGCGUGUAGCAGUGAAAUGCGUAGAUAUGCGGAGGAACACCGAUGGCGAAGGCAAUCCCCUGGACCUGUACUGACGCUCAUGCACGAAAGCGUGGGGAGCAAACAGG
rnacentral:rRNA from 1 species